UUUCCGUAGGUGAACCUGCGGAAGGAUCAUUACCGAGUGAGGGUCUCUCAGGCACGAGCUCCCACCCUGUGUUUUUGUGACCUUGUUGCUUUGGCGGGUCCGCCUCGAUGAGAGGCCGCCGGAAGAUUACCGUUUUGGGCCCGUGUACGCCCGUAGCCCUCUUUACUUCUUAAUCAACCUGUAGUCCGUGUCUAGAUAUACUAAUAACAACUUUCCACAAAUGAUAUCUUGGUUCUGGCAUCGUUGAAGAACGCAGCCGAUCGGCUGGGCACACGUCUG
rnacentral:misc_RNA from 1 species